UUGCCUAUGUACUGGCUUAACAUCAGACUGGAAAGAUCUUCCCAGGCAACCCAAGAAUGGCAGUGAUGUGGCUGAAUCCUAACAUGACCCAUUUCCCUGGGGCAUGUUUCACAGAAUUCCAGAGGGUUGUGGAAGGGAAGAUGGAAAAUAGAAAUCACCUGAAUUCUUUAAGAAAGAUCAUCAAACUGGGUUUCUUGUAUGAAAAGACACCAGUUUCUCACAUUCUAACUGGAAGGCUAGGGCUGCACAAGGAAGCAUCGCUUCCCCUGCUCCGUGACACCACACCCUCAGAAGUUCCUGGGCCUCACAUGGGCCAGGAACCUGCGAGUACAGAGGAAGAGUUAGAGGGAUCUUCCAAGAACAGAGACCAGAAGAGGCUGUUGGAGCUCUUGGAGCUGGAGUUGCAGGUGAUUGUGAGCUGUCCAGUGUGGGCACUGGGAGCAGAACUCUGAUCUUCUACAGGAACAGUGAGUGCUCUUACCACCCAGCCAGGUCUUCUACAGGAACAGUGAGUGCUCUUACCACCCAGCCAGGUCUUCAGCCUCAACAUGAAUUGUUUUUGUUCGCAUGUACAAUACAGCUAGAUGACUUCCUCACACCACUCAGAGCCCAGUGAUGUCUGAGACUAGUGGGCUUUUUGGUGCUGAAGGAAUGUAGAACAGGGUGCUCAGGGGAGGCACGGUGCUCUGUAGGAUGGUGCACAGGGCAUUUCUCCAGAAGUGUGAUCUCAGACAGCUCAUCUAUCUCUUUGGGCAUCAGUUUCCUGUAAAAUGAGGAGGCUGGGUUGAUUUCCAAGGCUCCUCCAAAGUCUCUCUUUAAAGAUUGUGAUGC